AGGAAUCUGCCUAGCUAGUGGGGGAUAGCUCGGGGAAACUCGAAUUAAUACCGCAUACGACCUAUCGGGUGAAAGGGGGCGCAAGCUCUUGCUAUUAGAUGAGACCUAAAUCAGAUUAGCUAGUUGGUGGGGUAAAGGCCCACCAAGGCGACGAUCUGUAACUGGUCUGAGAGGAUGAUCAGUCACACGCGGAACUGAGACACGGUCCGGACUCCUACGGGAGGCAGCAGUGGGGAAUAUUGGACAAUGGGGGCAACCCUGAUCCAGCCAUGCCGCGUGUGUGAAGAAGGCCUUUUGGUUGUAAAGCACUUUAAGCAGGGAGGAGAGGCUAAUGGUUAAUACCCAUUAGAUUAGACGUUACCUGCAGAAUAAGCACCGGCUAACUCUGUGCCAGCAGCCGCGGUAAUACAGAGGGUGCGAGCGUUAAUCGGAAUUACUGGGCGUAAAGCGAGUGUAGGUGGCUCAUUAAGUCACAUGUGAAAUCCCCGGGCUUAACCUGGGAACUGCAUGUGAUACUGGUGGUGCUAGAAUAUGUGAGAGGGAAGUAGAAUUCCAGGUGUAGCGGUGAAAUGCGUAGAGAUCUGGAGGAAUACCGAUGGCGAAGGCAGCUUCCUGGCAUAAUAUUGACACUGAGAUUCGAAAGCGUGGGUAGCAAACAGGAUUA
rnacentral:rRNA from 1 species